UCUGUACUCCCGCCCACAUUCCAGAGAACCCCAUAAGUUUCCCGCGCCCCCUGCCCUCUUCCCUUUGUUCUGAUUCCCUUGGGAAGAGAGGAUUUGGAGUAAGGACACUUGCUAAGAGGAAGCUAUUUGUUCAUGUGUAUAUUCAGCUGGGUGAUUCCCUUCCGAUGAUUGGUCCCCUCCCUACUGCCUGGAUCCCAUCGAAACUACCAAUCGGGAGUCUCCAAUCAAGCCAGCUGCACAUAAAUAGCGUGUGUGUCCACAGUUCGGGGCGGCUGUGAACCAGUGAGCAGUCCGCCUCUUUUUGGUUUCUACCUCUUGUGGUUGCUUAGGGAAUUACAGUUUUGAUAUCGUUGUAUUGCCUGGUUGUGGUUGAGUGGUUUCAGCCAGUGUUUUUGUUAACCUUGUGUAGCUUCUUUUGUUAUAAUUCUGUGUGCAUGUGCACUCUUUUCAGUUGAUUAAACCCCCGAUUUUGACCCGGAUUUGUCCAUUGUCACCUAUCCAUUUCAUUUAUCAUCCCAAUCUUGUGUUGCGGCUCUUAAAACGAACCGGGUCGUAACAAUGUGGCAGUGGUCUGCAGAUGCAUCCCGUGGUGUAGCCUACCACAUCCAUUUAGUUCAACAUGUUAUCGUUCUGAGACUGUCCAUGGUACUAGCAGUAGCAACCUGCUCUGAUUCUUUUUACCUAUGUAUUCAGGCUAAAAUGACUUGAUUGUCUGAUGCCUCAUCAUUCCAGCCUAAGAGUAUUGGUAUUAUUAGUGUAACAGACUGUUCUGUGUUUAGUUUGGAAAAUGAGCUGUGUCCCUCGUGAGUUGCCGUAGGGGGGAAGUUCGGGGAAGUGUUACGGCUGAUGCGUUGUGGGUGUGGCUGAGAUUAAAGUGAAGCGGAGUUGGCUGCCGAACACACUAUCUCGUCUCCCGUCCCGUUCAUUGUUUUCUAUAAUACUACAAUAUAGGCAAACCCAGAACGCUUGGUUACAUUAGUAAAGGCUACUUGCCAAAUCGAAAAAAUUACUUCACUUAGUGUGUCUUUUUUCCAAUGUAUUUGUUAUCAUUCGUAGCGUUGAUCAGCAGAGAAAUAGUUAGCCAAUGUCGAGCAUUCCACUGUAAUAAACAAAAAUAAUUGACAGCUGAACGUUAGGAAAGGCCCAUGCAAGUGAAUGGAGCAGUCCACAGCAUGAGAAGAGCCGUAUAAUAAGUAAGGGGUAAUGUAUAGAACGCCGGUCAUAAUCGGAAAAUAAGACACCGGCGCGCAGCGAAGGUGUCUUGCUUCCUCCUGAAGGGCCUUAUUUUAGAUAAUGACCGGUGACGUUCUAUACAUUAUCCCGCUUAUUACUCGGCUACUUGCCAAAACGAACAAAUAACUUCACAUGAUGUGUCUUUUUACAAUUUAUUUGUUACCAGCAUUCGUAGUGCUGAUCAGCAGAGAAAUAGUCUGCCAAAGACGUUGACGUCGCUUCCCGAAGACGCUGUGGUUGAAAAGUUACCGGACUACUUGAGGAGUGCUACCAAAGACGUCAUUAGAGGCGAAAAGUCCUUUGUUUUCCUUGACAGCAGUCAAUUAUACUUAGUGUAGA
ensembl:lncRNA